UGACGGGGGCCCGCACAAGCGGUGGAGCACGUGGUUUAAUUCGAUGCAAAGCGAAGAACCUUACCUGGGCUUGACAUGCUAGGGUUGUACCCUGGUGGAAACACCGGGGGAGCGUAGGGGUUAUCUCUACGCGCUCUAGCACAGGUGCUGCAUGGCUGUCGU
rnacentral:rRNA from 1 species